AGCGAACGCUGGCGGCAGGCCUAACACAUGCAAGUCGAACGAACCCUUCGGGGUUAGUGGCGGACGGGUGAGUAACACGUGGGAACGUGCCUUUAGGUUCGGAAUAACUCAGGGAAACUUGUGCUAAUACCGAAUGUGCCCUUCGGGGGAAAGAUUUGUCGCCUUUAGAGCGGCCCGCGUCUGAUUAGCUAGUUGGUGAGGUAAUGGCUCACCAAGGCUACGAUCAGUAGCUGGUCUGAGAGGAUGACCAGCCACAUUGGGACUGAGACACGGCCCAAACUCCUACGGGAGGCAGCAGUGGGAAAUCUUGCGCAAUGAGCGAAAGCCUGACGCAGCCAUGCCGCGUGGAUGAUGAAGGUCUUAGGAUUGUAAAAUCCUUUCACCGGUGAAGAUAAUGACUGUAGCCGGAGAAGAAGCCCCGGCUAACUUCGUGCCAGCCGCCGCAGUAAAAC
rnacentral:rRNA from 1 species